rnacentral:rRNA from 1 species
UACAGAGGUGCCAAGCGUUAGGCGGAAUCACUGGGCUUAAAGCGCGUGUAGGUGGACGGGUAAGUAUCUUGUGAAAUCCCACGGCUCAACCGUGGAACUGCUGGAUAUACUGCUUGUCUUGAGGCACUUAGGGGCAGCUGGAACAAAUGGUGGAGCGGUGAAAUGCGUAGAUAUCAUUUGGAACGCCAAAGGCGAAAGCAGGCUGCUGGGAGUGAUCUGACACUGAGACGCGAAAGCCAGGGAGCGAA